GGCAGAGGUGUCCUCUCCUAGUAAAAGGUGGUAGGACAAUUAUCAAGAUUAUAAUAAUGUACACAACAUCCAUAGCCUAGUGCUUGACAAAAUAACAUUUUUAUAUUCAUAGCUUAAAUCGUACCGGAAGUGGAUGGCAAGUCUGGCUGGCGUCUCGGGUGGCCAUUGUUGCAGGAAGUGAAGAACGUGUAGUUUUUUCUUUUUUUUCUUUUGCAGAAGACCAUGGGACGUAUCAUUUGUUCCAUGGAAUGUAUGUGCUCUGCUCAGGAUUAUAAUACCCCUACACACAGACCUUAGGUCAGAGACAAUGAAAUAGAACUGAGCACAAUACAGGUCCUGGGUUACACGCAGACAGUAAAAGUAAAAUGUAAACGGUAACAAGCCAAGGUCAGGAUUAUUAUAUUCAAUAUUAAAAUACGGAUUAUAUUCAUAUUAGAAAUAUGGGAGAGCGAGUAAACAGGUCAGGAUUACAGAGAUACACAAAGUGAAAAUACAAGCCAAAAGUCAAUACCAGACAACACAGAGUAUAGAAUAUAAAGUGCUGAACGUGAACCAAAAGGAAACCAUGACAGGGCAAUGGCUAAGUGGCUGUUUAGGUUAACUCUGAAUUUUGCAGGAAUGAAAGCUGGAUGUCUGAGCACAAAGAGGCCAGAACAAAAUGCCAAUUUGAUAGGAGCCAUAACUAUUCUAAAUCAUUAUACCAUUAAAAUAAUAUUCUGUAGCUGUUCCAAUGGUUGAGUAUUAGGGUUAUAGCCACAAUAACAAUAAGGGGUUAUUGUUAAAGCCCCUUCACAUCUAAGCAGUGUGCAGAAAAAUCACCACAGAAAAGCUUUCUCCUGUGUGUUGUGUGUAUGGGGGGAUGCUUGUGGUUCUGCUGUGAAUGUUGUGUUUACAGUGGGGCAGUGAUGUGUGUGAGGGGUGAUUGAGUAUCAGUGUAAUUGUCCAUGAGGGGGUACAUGUGCCCAAUUGUGCCUAUGCGUUUACGAGGGUGGCAGGGUGACAUUGGCAAUGUGACUGUGUGUGCGGGGUAAGUGUAGGGAAUGACUUGUGUGUGGGUGUGAUGUGACAGGUUGAAUCUGUGUGAGGGUGGGGGGUGUUACAGGGUGACUGUGUGUGAGGGGAGGGGGUGAUGUGACAUGGUGACUGUAUAUAAAUGGGUGAUAUCACAGCUUGUAAUGGGGGGGGACUGUAUUUCCCUGUUUAACCUCCCCACACAUUGCUGCUUGUUUUGUUUGAAGGUAAGCCCUUCUUCCUGCCCACCUCCCUCAUCUCUCCCUUUUAGCCUGCCCCCGUUUUUCUAUGUGUAUGAUAUUACAUCCCCCCUCUGUGCUCCAUGUAACAGGUAUAGGAGAAGAGAAUAAAGAGAGGGGGAGAUACAGCGCUCACUCAAAUGGCAGCAGAUUUUGUUAAUUGGAUACCGUAACAAUCCAAUGGAAAAUAGGUAGAAAACAAGAAAACAAUGGUGAUAGAAAUAACUUUGAUAUACUUAAAAAGUCCCAGAGGAAUAAAACAAGGGUCUUUUUUCUAUAAGCCUUUGAGGAGAUGAUGCUUUAGUGUAGAUCAGUCAAAGGACCUCCUGGUUUUCAAAUAAAUUAGGUUUUUAUUGAGGUAGGGAGUUCUGUUAUUGGCAUCUCAUGUAAAAUCUAAGCAGAAAAGAAAAACCAAUAGUGCAACCCAGUAUGUUCAAUUAUGUGAAGAAAAAAAAAAAGAAUGCACUCACAGGGAUAGAAACUCCAAUUAGCUCUUCGAUAAGGCUCGGAGUGGUAUAAUCCCCACUCAGGGAUGAUACUGGAAUUUUUCUCUUUGAGAGUUCACAGUGGAAGUGGCAUAUGAAAGAAUACAAACAGGAAAUAGUGCUCAUUGUUUUAAACCAAUAAAAAUGUGUGGAAGAGUGAAACUUCUCUCAACCUUUAUCAGCUUAGGUGGAAUGAUCUCCACAAGGAUAUAUAUGAGUAGAGGUAGAUGUUGUGAUGGUCCCUGGAGAGACUCCU